AUAAACGUAUGUGUAUUUAUUAUCAUAUGUAUUAUGCAUCCAUUUAUAUGUGUAUAUAUACUCACAUAUUAAAAGCUUUGUGCUUUCAUUGUUGGGUAUAAAGUCAGUUUAUAGUGUUCGUACAUAACUAUUUAAACAGUUUAAAUAGUUUAUAAUUAUUAUUUUGUUUUAUUUUUUUAUUUUUUUAUUUUAUUUUUUAUUUUUUACUGUUCUUUUUGGUGUUUUUAAUGAUCUCUUAAUGAAGUCUCAGAUUCCUUCUUAUCCUAUGCCAAACAACUCGACAAAAUAACAGCUUCACAUACAUAUCAACUCGAAAUUUUGUUUAAAUAAACGUACCUCUUAUCUUAAAGUUUGAAGUAUGUUUUUUUAGUUUAAUCAAAAAGCAUAUAUUCGAGUAACAGUUCUUUUUCUCAAAAUAAUUUUGUGAAAACUUGUAAAAAAAAAAAAAAAAAAAAAAAAAGAACUAUAAUAUUUACUCCUAAUGAAAGUAUUAUAAAUGCUCUUUCAGUAUUUGGUUCAAAAAAUUGUAAUAAAAGUAAUAAUUACAAUAAUAAAAUAAUAUUGUUAACAUAUUAAAACCAGACAGUGGAAAAAAAAAAAAAAUAUAAAUAAAUAUAUA